UAGGGAAUCUUCGGCAAUGGACGGAAGUCUGACCGAGCAACGCCGCGUGAGUGAAGAAGGUUUUCGGAUCGUAAAGCUCUGUUGUAAGAGAAGAACGAGUGUGAGAGUGGAAAGUUCACACUGUGACGGUAUCUUACCAGAAAGGGACGGCUAACUACGUGCCAGCAGCCGCGGUAAUACGUAGGUCCCGAGCGUUGUCCGGAUUUAUUGGGCGUAAAGCGAGCGCAGGCGGUUAGAUAAGUCUGAAGUUAAAGGCUGUGGCUUAACCAUAGUAGGCUUUGGAAACUGUUUAACUUGAGUGCAAGAGGGGAGAGUGGAAUUCCAUGCGUAGCGGUGAAAUGCGUAGAUAUAUGGAGGAACACCGGUGGCGAAAGCGGCUCUCUGGCUUGUAACUGACGCUGAGGCUCGAAAGCGUGGGGAGCAAACAGGAUUAGAUACCCUGGUAGUCCACGCUGUAAACGAUGAGUGCUAGGUGUUAGACCCUUUCCGGGGUUUAGUGCCGUAGCUAACGCAUUAAGCACUCCGCCUGGGGAGUACGACCGCAAGGUU
rnacentral:rRNA from 1 species